rnacentral:rRNA from 1 species
UACGUAGGGUGCGAGCGUUGUCCGGAAUUAUUGGGCGUAAAGGGCUCGUAGGUGGUGGCUUAAGCGUGCGGUGAAAGCUCGGAGCUCAACUCCGAGUCGGCCGUGCGAACUGGGCUCACUGGAGCAUAGUAGAGGCAGGUGGAAUUCCGGGUGUAGCGGUGGAAUGCGUAGAGAUCCGGAAGAACACCGGUGGCGAAGGCGGCCUGCUGGGCGUAUGGCUGACACUGAGGCGCGACAGCGUGGGGAGCAAACAGG